ACAUCCUGAGUAACGUAGCUAACGCGUGAAGUCAGCCGCCUGGGGAGUACGGUCGCAAGAUUAAAACUCAAAGGAAUUGACGGGGACCCGCACAAGCGGUGGAUGAUGUGGAUUAAUUCGAUGCAACGCGAAAAACCUUACCUACCCUUGACAUGUCACUAACGAAGUAGAGAUACAUUAGGUGCCCGUAAGGGAAAGUGAACACAGGUGCUGCAUGGCUGUCGUCAGCUCGUGUCGUGAGAUGUUGGGUUAAGUCCCGCAACGAGCGCAACCCUUGUCUUUAGUUGCUACGCAAGAGCACUCUAAAGAGACUGCCGGUGACAAACCGGAGGAAGGUGGGGAUGACGUCAAGUCCUCAUGGCCCUUAUGGGUAGGGCUUCACAUGUCAUACAAUGGUGCAUACAGAGGGUUGCCAACCCGCGAGGGGGAGCUAAUCUCAGAAAAUGCAUCGUAGUCCGGAUCGUAGUCUGCAACUCGACUACGUGAAGCUGGAAUCGCUAGUAAUCGCGGAUCAGAAUGUCGCGGUGAAUACGUUCCCGGGUCUUGUACACACCGCCCGUCAUACCAUGGGAGUGGGUUUUGCCAGAAGCCGUUAGCCUAACCACAAGGAGGGCGACUGCCACGGCAGGGUUCAUGACUGGGGUA
rnacentral:rRNA from 1 species